rnacentral:lncRNA from 1 species
ACACUGCAAAUAGUGAAUUCUGGACUCUUUAGAGUUGGUCUACUCGUAGUGUGAGACAAUGAUUCGAAAAUCUGGUAGACCAUGUUUAUAAAACAGGUAGGUUUGUGUUCGUAAACAGGUAGACCAUUUUGUCUUACAAAAAAAGUAGACCCUUUCUCGUAAAUAAGCUGACCAGGCUUCGUAAACAGGUAGACCUCUCAAGAAUUCUUCAAGUGUGUGUGAAUUCUGGACACUUUAGUGUUGGUCUACACGUAGUAUGAGUCAAUGAUUCGGAAACCUGGUACACCAUGUUUACAAAACAUGUAGGUUAGUGUUCGUAAACAGGUAGACCAUUUUGUCUCACAAAAAAAGUAGACCCGUACUCGUAAAUAAGCAGACCAAGCUUCGUAAACAGGUAGACCUCUCAAGAAUUUUUCAAGUGUGUGUGAAUUCUGGACUCUUUAGAGUUGGUCUACUCGUAGUUUGAGACAAUGAUUCGAAUAGCUUGUACACCAUUUUCGCAAAACACGUAGGUUAGUCUUUGUAAACAAGUAGACCAUUUUGAUCUCGUUCUCUUUUAAUCCUGACCAUUGAUUCCUUCUUUGAAAACCCAACCAAGGUCAAAUGACCCAAGUCGGGUCAAGCACUCCUCUCUCGCGUACAACGAGAGCUGAGAAGCUCUCCGUCCUCGGCCGUCUUCUCCGAUGCUGCCCGGCCGACUCUGGCCACCAUUCUCCACAAAACCACCACCAAAUUUCUUCUCUCUUUCCCCUCUACAUAACCCAGCAUGUGAAUCGCACAUACUGAUUCAAAGACAAAUCUACGGCGAGAAGCUUCGACUGUGUCGUCUGUUUCCGUCGUCUCCGGCGACGACUUGGCCUCGAACUGGCAUAUUCGAACUUUUCCCUUCAUUCUCUGCACCCUAGUGCCCGGCCUUAAUCCCUCGAAUCUUUUACAAAUCUUAAUAACCCCUUUACUGUUGGUUUUGAGUUUUCCGGCGAGCUGCUGCGGUGAUGCCGACGAGGCUUUCUGGCGUUCUCUACUUCUUCUGAUGACCUAGGUCGACUUCAGAGGUGUUAAGCAGUGGUAAGUGACUUCGUAGCUACUGAGCAGGGUUGCUGUGUUUUCCGGUGUGUUUUUGAGAGAGAGAGAGAGAGAGAGAGAGAGAGAGAGAGAGAGAGAGAGAGAGAGAGAGAGAGAGAGAGAGAGAGAGAGAGAGAGAGAGAGAGAGAGAGAGAGAGAGAGAGAGAG